rnacentral:rRNA from 1 species
UACGUAGGGGGCGAGCGUUGUCCGGAUUUAUUGGGCGUAAAGAGCUCGUAGGCGGUUUGGUAAGUUGGAUGUGAAAUCUCCAGGCUCAACUUGGAGGGGUCAUUCGAUACUGCCAUGACUAGAGUUCGGCAGGGGAGACUGGAAUUCCUGGUGUAGCGGUGAAAUGCGCAGAUAUCAGGAGGAACACCGGUGGCGAAGGCGGGUCUCUGGGCCGAUACUGACGCUGAGGAGCGAAAGCGUGGGUAGCAAACAGG